GUGGGGAAUAUUGGACAAUGGGCGAAAGCCUGAUCCAGCCAUGCCGCGUGUGUGAAGAAGGUCUUCGGAUUGUAAAGCACUUUAAGUUGGGAGGAAGGGCAGUAAGUUAAUACCUUGCUGUUUUGACGUUACCGACAGAAUAAGCACCGGCUAACUUCGUGCCAGCAGCCGCGGUAAUACGAAGGGUGCAAGCGUUAAUCGGAAUUACUGGGCGUAAAGCGCGCGUAGGUGGUUUUGUAAGUUGGAGGUGAAAUCCCCGGGCUCAACCUGGGAAGAGCCUCCAAAACUGCAUGACUAGAGGACGGUAGAGGGUAGUGGGAUUUCCUGUGUAGCGGUGAAAUGCGUAGAUAUAGGAAGGAACACCAGUGGCGAAGGCGACUACCUGGACUGAUACUGACACUGAGGUGCGAAAGCGUGGGGAGCAAACAGGAUUAGAUACCCUAGUAGUCC
rnacentral:rRNA from 1 species